rnacentral:lncRNA from 1 species
UAUAAGUCACUCAAAAGGUUAUGAGAGGAACGUUAGUUAAAGAUUAAGAAGAAAAAGCAGAUCUAAGUGCAGGGAGUCUUCAGUGAUGCAAGCCUGGCUUCUGUCAAAGGAGGGGAAGAAGGAUGAGAAUGAAAGAGUCACAGCCUGAAACACAGUUUAGGAAGUUUUGGCCCGGACAAUAGGAGUCUCCAGUCCAAAGUCUUCUGUUGGAAGGUUAUCACAAAUCUUAAAAAUGGCCUUCAUCAAUACUCCGAGCAUGCUCAGUCAUUGGCCAGGAACAGCCAGAGAAAAUAUGGUCUGAGUGCAAAGAUAGUCAUACAACCAGAAAAACAGUAGCUGGGGCUGCCUGUCAUCCAUGCUCACUGAAGCAAGAGUUGUGAGUGGUGACCACAUAUAUCAAAUAUUUCUAUGAAAAAAACAAAACAAAACAAAACCCAAUCAAGUGAAACUCCAAAAUGAUAACCUUUAAUGCUUAUUAGGUGGCACAAGUGUUAGGUUGGGUAUUUUACUAAAUAUUUAAUCAUUAUAUAUGCACAUAUUUAUGGGCAUGUGAGCUUAAUUUCUGUUUUUAAAUUCAGAAUGCUUCAAUAAUAACAUUGCAUUUUAUAUAAUCCUGAUUUUCUUUUUUAAAAUCAGCUCAAAAGGAGAAGUUAAAUAUUCAGCUUUAAUUUCACCAGUAGAUUUUUAAUGUUUUGUAAUCAUAAUGUUUAAUUUGUGCUGUUCUUAGAACUUUAAUUAUGAAGCUAAAUUGUACUAAUACCCAUUAGGUACUUCUUAAUUGAAGGCACAUCAUAUGUCUGAUGUGGCAGUACUAAUUGGUGUAAUUAAAUUCUAAUAUGCUUCAGUAGCCUGAUUUUUUUAAGGGAAUAAAAAGCUGAUAGAAAUAAGUCAGCUCUUGAAGCUGCAUAGUUGUAUAAUACAUACACGUGUUUGCAUUUGUAACAUGCACAUUUAUUCAGAAGAAACAACUCAUUAAUUUAUUCCAAAACCAUUUCACCUGAUAACUUAAAAUACAGAGUAAAACAAAUUGGUCAGGUAAAUAUACAUGUAACUUAAAAAGAAACAGUCAUGUACUUUAGGCAUAAGGACAAUGCUUUUCUCUUUUACAAAUUCUAAGUUAGGUCAAAUUCUCUGAAAGUCACUACCUUUCUUUACUGUGAUGUGUUUUCGGUGAAGUUACAGCCUAUUUGCAAAUCACAUCACUGGUUUGUCCAAGCAGAGGUAGAUGAGAGGUAAGCUCCUGUCCUGCUAAAAGUCUCCUAAAAACAGCAAGAAAAUAUUUUUACAUGUUCAAAAAUGCUCAUUUAUUUAUAUUCCUAAAUUUUCUUUUACUCAGUAUAAUAUAGAUAAUUUAAAAAUAAGUAGAAUAUUUUUAUUAUAUAUGUUUUAUUUUUAUACAUCUAGUUAAAUUAAUAGUGGAACAUUAUAUAUCUGUUAAAUGUUUUAAAUUACAUGGAAUUAAAAUAUCAAAGUUAAUUAUGUUAUUAUAAUUUUUAAAUUUCAGAAACCUUCUUUAAAAUUCUUACUGUUUUAUCUUAAAAAAUUCAUAUAGAAAUUGUGGUCAGAUGUAAACUGUGACUCUGAGCACAAAUCCCAAUGCUAUUGCCAAUUAAAUUCCAAUUUUUGUGUUCACACAUGAAAUGUAGUUUUUCUUUUAUUGAGUUUUAAAAAUCUGUAAGAUUUACCUAUCUGAAUAUACACUCAGGUCUAGCUUCAUGUUCCUGUGACCUCUGUGGUCACACAAGGACCCAUGUACAUAAUGACCUCAUACUUGGCCUAAUGCUCUGCUGUUGCCAUCUUGAAACGCUUAACACUUUGAACGAGGUACAACAUCCACUUCAUUUUGCACUGGGCCCUGCAAAUCACGUAGACAGUCAUAUAUGAGUCCAGUAUUUUCCUACCACCAGACAUUUUGAUGUACUGAAGAGAUAAAAAAAAAAACCUAAUAAUUAGAAGUUUUAAAAGAAUUUUUUUUUUUUUUUUGGAAGACUAGAGUUUUAUUACUGAAAUCAGUCUCCCCCAAAAUUUAGAGACUGCAUUUUUUUAUUUUUUUUUAAUUUUUUUAUUGAUAAUUCUUGGGUGUUUCUCACAGAGGGGGAUUUGGCAGGGUCAUGGGACAAUAGUGGAGGGAAGGUCAGCAGAUAAACAAGCGCCUCUGCCCGGCCGCCCCUACUGGGAAGUGAGGAGCCCCUCUGCCCGGCCAGCCGCCCCGUCCGGGAGGGAGGUGGGGGUGUCAGCCCCCCGCCCGGCCAGCCGCCCCGUCCGGGAGGGAGGUGGGGGGGGUCAGCACCCCCGCCCGGCCAGCCGCCCCGUCCGGGAGGUGAGGGGCGCCUCUGCCCGGCCGCCCCUACUGGGAAGUGAGGAGCCCCUCUGCCCGGCCACCACCCGGUCUGGGAGGUGUGCCCAACAGCUCAUUGAGAACGGGCCAGGAUGACAAUGGCGGCUUUGUGGAAUAGAAAGGCG